UAAUACGGAGGGUGCAAGCGUUAAUCGGAAUUACUGGGCGUAAAGCGCACGCAGGCGGUUUGUUAAGUCAGAUGUGAAAUCCCCGGGCUCAACCUGGGAACUGCAUUUGAAACUGGCAAGCUAGAGUCUCGUAGAGGGGGGUAGAAUUCCAGGUGUAGCGGUGAAAUGCGUAGAGAUCUGGAGGAAUACCGGUGGCGAAGGCGGCCCCCUGGACGAAGACUGACGCUCAGGUGCGAAAGCGUGGGGAGCAAACAGGAUUAGAUAACCCUGGUAGUCCACGCUGUAAACGAUGUCGAUUUGGAGGUUGUGCCCUUGAGGCGUGGCUUCCGGAGCUAACGCGUUAAAUCGACCGCCUGGGGAGUACGGCCGCAAGGUUA
rnacentral:rRNA from 1 species